rnacentral:rRNA from 1 species
GUUAGGAAUAUUGGACAAUGGGCGCAAGCCUGAUCCAGCCAUGCCGCGUGAGUGAUGAAGGCCUUCGGGUUGUAAAGCUCUUUAGUCCACGAAUAUAAUGACUGUAGUGGAAGAAUAAGCCCCGGCUAACUUCGUGCCAGCAGCCGCGGUAAUACGAAGGGGGCGAGCGUUAUUCGGAAUCACUGGGCGUAAAGCGUGCGUAGGCUGUUUUGUAAGUAAGAAGUGAAAGCCCAGGGCUUAACCCUGGAAUUGCAUUUGAAACUACAAGACUCGAAUUCGGGAGAGGAUAGCGGAAUUGUCAGUGUAGCAGUGAAAUGCGUAGAUAUUGACAGGAACACCAGUGGCGCAAGCGGCUAUCUGGACCGAUAUUGACGCUGAGGCACGAAAGCGUGGGGAGCAAACAGGAUUAGAAACCCGAGUAGUCC